rnacentral:tRNA from 1 species
CAUUUAUUGGGCAGGCGAGUCACGGAACUGUUAGACAGUGCUCUAAGAAAGGAUGUCUAAUGGCCCUAGACUCAAACGGCCAGUAGGAGGAAUCUAGAGAAGGAAGAGUUGUAUGUACCAGAUUCACGGUCAAUUCAGCAGAACCGGAAGUAAGAAAUAACUAAAUUAGGAGAAUGUCCACAAUAAAAAACAGAAAAAGAAGACAAAGACUCUGUCAUUCGUUCUAAAGACAAAUCUUGGCUCCAAGAAACGAGCAGGAGGACAUAACCAAAAACGGACCUGCCUCCAGCCCAGCUCUCGUUGACGCAAAACCAAAAAGUCAAAAGAUUUUUUAAAAAAAGGUCUUUGUAAUGUAGAGGAGUACAAAGAAAAUAAAAGGGAAAAGUAUGACAGCGGGACACCAGCACCAAUGAUUUGAUCUAAAAUCUCCCCUGGAAUACCCUGAGGAAUUGAGAGAGAGAUAUCUGUUUGCGAAGUCAGGACUGAACUUGGGAGUCUGGGAAUAAGGGACCAAAAAACGAUGAUUGCUGGCCGUACCAGAUUUAAUAGACCUGAAAGGCUUUGAGCUGGGAUUAGAAAAAGAAAAGAAGCCUACGUAGAUCGGAAGAAAUAGAUCGGAAGAAAUCGAGAGUUAACCUGGAGACACCAGCCGGGAGAGAUAGAGGCCUGGGAUCUGAGAAGGGGAUGGGAGGAUGCCUGAUUGGUCACCCUAGAGACAUCUAAGGGUUAUCGUACUUGGGGUAUUCUCCUAUUUCGUAUUGAUAUUCUGAGUCUUCUGGAAAGCGUACCCUACGGUGGUUAACUGGAUGAAGGAGGAAAACUAGAUCUGUCAGAAGUGGGAUUCGAACCCACGCCUCCAGGGGAGACUGCGACCUUAACGCAGCGCCUUAGACCGCUCGGCCAUCCUGACCACGUAAACAUACUACCAGCUUGACCUUCAUCACUCUCACCUCAAACCAACUAUUCCUUUAAUCUUUUAAAAGACCGUAACAGCAGCUGCUUGCUGAGUCUACAUAACCCUCCUUGGUCUCCUACCUUCCAGUUGCCUCGCUAGAAGCCGACGUUCCCCCCAUCGACUUCUUCACCAAGACCUUUCCCUUCGGUACACUCUCACAACCUCCACGUGAAAGCAACCGAGCGGGAACCCAAAUCUCCAAAGCUUUCACACACCCCUCCUACCAACAGCGUCUGUCUGUCUGUGGGUCUGUCAGUCCAAUUGGACUUGUGGGUGCCGGUUUCCAUACUCGGCCUCCAAGUCUCUGAAUAGCAGGCAUUGUCUGAGGACUGGCCAGAGUAGAUCUUUCAUUACGAAACCAUCCCAUUCCAAUAUCAGAAGCUCUCCAAAUCAGUUCAGAAACAUCAUGUCCUGCUCCAAGCGAGAAGAGCUGGCAACUAUAGGCUCAACUUUGGAGAACCCGACUAAAUUACCCCGUGGUCUGCCUUCGGAGCCAUUAGGUUCUCCUCUGAGAGAAAGUGGGAAUCGCCUCAAGCCAUGGAGAAGAACAAACCCAUCAGAGUCUCUGGGGACAGGCACCAGACUGGAACCCCCCAUUUGGCACCAGGGAAUGCCUUUGGGGCCAUUAGAAAAAGGCAAUAGAGUCAGUUUGAACAAACGUAGUGAGGAAGACUUUCUAGUCCAGGGUGACGACUGUAAUAAAGGAGACCUAGGCCAUGUGGGGGAGGUUUGGAAGUAGCAGAUUUGCAGAAGGGAUUCUUUGGGCACAGUGGCAAAGUUCCAACCAAGAUACCGAGACUGUAAUGAGCACUGUGAUUCGUGAAGAUGAUGAGGCCGGGUCUGUCACCAGGCUGGCUAAAGUGAAGAGAAUCAAAUGGGUAUACGGACCUUGGGGGAGUUGCUCUGUUCCCAGAAAUGCAGGCUAACCAGGAGGAAGGGCAGCACACCAGCAGCCCUCUCUGUGGACUAGGAUUUAUUUGUCCAGCUGGCUUUUGAGAAAACAGUCUUAGGCAGCCAUUAUCUUUCUCCAAGUCCCAAAAGCUGCCAACACCUUAGUUUUGGUCACUGAAGUCUAGGAGAGGGCUCUCUGGACAAAAAGAAAUGAAGGACUGAAUUUAUUUUGAUUCAUGCAUGCAUUCCCUUUUAAAUUAGCUUAGGAGUCUCAAGGCUAGAUCUAGGUCCCUGGUGUAACUUCCCAGUUUCCUGAGAAGCAAAAUGGAUCGAGAAGGUCUGUGGCCCUGAAGUUGAAAAGCUUCGCUCCUCUGGAUCAAGACUGACUCUGAGUAUCAUCUCUUGGCUAGAGUUGAAUAAACCACCCUUUUGCUUACCGCCUGGCCACAAUCAGGUGGAAUGGAGAAAGAAGGUCCAAAGGGACAGACACACAAACUUUGGAAAGGCAAGCCAGAACUUGGAAAGGGUGUUUUUCUGUUUAGACUAUGUGCCUUCAAGAAUGGUGCAACAGGUAGUCAUUUUCCAACUCCUCCACUCCAACAUACAAGACAAUACAGUCAUCUUUACAAACCAGGACCAAGACUGCCCCAAAUCGGCUCUCAAGAGAUAAUCACACUGAAACAAUUUCACUCUUCAGGCUUCGAGUAACCUCCCCAAAGGCUGAGUCGUGGAGAUCGACCUUGUCCUCUAUAAAGCCAAUCCCUUUCUUCCAGCACCGCAGCUUCUAGGCCGAAGCAGGUUGGCGGGAACUCUUGACCAGCAGUCUUGGGGUCUCUGAGGAGCAGACGCUACCCUAAGGCUGACCAGAGCAAAACAUCCUGACCAUUCCAAAGGACGACGCUAGGAGUGCCCGCAGCCAACCCUGCAGCUCUCGGCACAGCGUCCAACUAGAGGGGAUGGAGAUUAGAACCUGAGCAAUCCUGAACAAACUGUUCGGCGGCUUUCGGAACCAUCUGGUUCUCUUCGGGGAGAAAAGAGCAAGACACAAGCUAAAGAGAGGAGCAAACCCAGAAAAGCCUCUGAGAACUCCAGUCUGGACACAUCCAUUUGGACAGCUCCCGACCAAUACUCCGGCUGCUCCCUCAACUGCCCACACCUGACCCUCCGCGUGGGUCUGGGAAAGUCAGUUCCAGGGAGCCUUGGAGGUCCAAGGCACCACCAGUGUAGUGCGCCGCUAUAUCUAAGCAGAGGCGGGGAGAAGGGGUCAUAUUGGACAAAAGGAGCAACUUGUCUAUCUCGCUUCAUUUAGUCUUCAUUUGUAUACGCGUGUGUAUGGGCAGUUAGGUGGUACAGUGACACAGUGGAUAGAGUGCCGGGGCUCCCACUAGCUGUGUGACCCUGGACCAGUACAUUCCUAUUUGCCUCAGUUUCUUCUUCUGUCAAAUUGGCUGGAAAAGAAAAUGGCAAAGCACUUGGAUAUCUUUGACAAGAAAACUUCUAAAGGGGCUACAAAGACACUGGAACAACCGAACAACAAAUUUGCAUUUUGUUUUCAAAGCUGUUUGUUUCCCGAGAUAAUCCACCACAUAACCCUGUCUUCCUCCCAUCACUCACUAAUCAUUAAGGGGCCACUCUGUCGAAGAACCACCCUUUAUUUUUAAAAAAAAAGGGGGGGAGGGGAGGAAAGGACGAGUAGUUAACUCGGAAUCAGACUGAUGUUGUUUCUAGCUUCAUAUAGCUUAUAUUUUUCAGCUCAAAAUUCCCCACGGAUGUAAAAUGAGGGGAAGGAGGGAGUAGAAAGGGAGAGAAGGCUCCAGUAGAAGGUAACUUCUCAUUUGUCGUCUCUUGGGCCAAAACUCAAACACAAUCUCACUACAUUCAGUUAUCAUUGUUUUUGUGGGAAUCAAUUCUUUUGGCUUUCUACAAACCAUCUUGAGUGGCAUUUUCCUGUGUUUAUUUUACUUUAUUUUUCCAUCCUGACCAGUAUUACUGAAUUUACUUUUCCUUUGUUUGGGGCUUUCAAGUUUCCAAAUUACAUUUUAUUGCUGUUUUCAAAUCACAUUUCCCAGUAUAUUUCUCUUUUAUGUCCUCUCAGCCAUCCCAAGAAGGAGAGAGAAACAAAGUUCAACACUCACCAACCUAUAGAAAAGUCUUAAGGUUACUUGCCAUCACCACCCUUUCAACAAGACUGAAAAAGGAGGAGGGACAUAGUGAGCUAUAGAAGUAAUUUUUUACCCACUGACUAAUAAUUUUACCCCACUCUGCUUUCUUUAUUUUGCCCACUUAGUGUAUUCAGUCAAGUGGUCAUUAUGUAUAUUUUCUUGGGGCUGUUCCCCCCUCCUUUCCAUUAGUUCACACAAAUUUUUCCCAUGCCUUUCCUCACUCACCAUUUCUUUGGGUAUAGUUACUAUGCCUUACGAUUACCACAUCUGGUUUAGGGUUUCCCCAUUUGGUGGGCAUCAACUUUGCUUCCAAUUCUUUGCUAGUCAGUAAAAAAAAAAAAAAAAAGCUUUAUUUUUAUAAUAACUUUUUAUUUUUCAAUAUAUAUGCAAAGUUUCCAACAUUGACCAUUGCAAAACCUUGUGUUCCAUAGUUUUCUUCCCCCUUUCCCUAAAUAGCAAGUAAUCCAAUAUAAGUUGAACAUGUACAAUUUUUCCUAAACACAUUUCCAUAUUUAUCAUGUUGCACAAGAAAAAUCAGAUCAGAAAGGGGGAAAAGGGGGGAAAAGAAGAUGAAAAUACUUAUUGUGAUCCAUAAUUCAGUCCCCAGAGUGGUCCUUUCUGGAUACAGAUGGUUUUCUUUAUCACAAGUUAUUGGAAUGGUACUGAAUCAUCACCUCACUGUUGAAAAGAGUCAUGUCUUCACAGUUGAUCAUCACAUAACCUUGUUGUUGCUGUGUACAAUGUUCUUUUGGUUCUACUCACUUCACAGCAUCAGUUAAAGUAAGUCUAGUUUCUCCCAAGCCUUUUUGAAGUCAUCUUCUGAUUGUUUUUUUUUUUUUAAUUAAAGUUCUUUAUUUUCAAAACAUAUGUAAAGAUUUCAACAUUCAUCUUUGCAAAACCUUGUGUUCCAAAUUUUUCCCUCCCUUUCCCCAUCCCCUUCCCUAAAUGGCAAUUUUAUGGUAAAACAUGUGCAGUUCUAUACAUAUUUCCACUAUUAUCAUGCUACUCAAGAAAAAUCAAUGGAUUGUUUCUUAUAAAAUAAUAAUAUUCCAUCACACUCAUAUACCACAGUCAUUCCCCUACUGAUGGGCAUCCACUCCU